ACCCUAAGAAUCGAUCUCACACUAAAAAGCUCACAAAUUGUCUUUGAGAUUGAUGGUGACCAAGAAGGGAGGAACAUGAGAAAUUAAAAAGAUUAUACACAGACAAUGACUUUGCUGUUAAGAGAUUAGUUCAGGGCCACUCAAAAGUCAGGGCCGGCCCUAUUCUCGGCCGUCCAGUUCACGGCCUGAACUACAAUGUUGUUGGAGUGGUGACGACAAUUGGUAUGGACGGGUGCCAAAGUCAAUAGCUCAGUGAUGACAGCAUUGAGCUUGGUAGCUUAGUGGGUUCAGAUAGCUUGGGAAAUGUGGGUAUCCUAAGGUAUCUGGGUGGAUUGGAUGGUGCUUAACAACACACUUAAGAAAUGCGAGUAUUAAAAGAACUUUCUUGUUGACAUAAAAAUGGAUGGAAUGAAGUGGGAACUACCCAGAAAUCCCAAAAUGGUUUCUGGGAUUUUUUGCAAUGGUUAUUGAUAGUUACUCCUACUCUCCUAAGAAAGAAUUUAAAGAUACAUGAUAAAAGAUAAAGGGUUUGCUCGAUGAAGAUUUUUGAUUUGGGACUAGACCCUUGAAACUUGCUGGGAGUCCUCUAUUUAUUUAUAGGCUAAGUUCUAAUCUGGCCAAACUAGAUUUUCGAUCGUGACUCUGACAAACGUCCAAUCAAUGUUGUGACUUUCUCUGCACGUUAUUGUCGGUGAUUGGCCAAAAUGGACGGAUGAAAAGAUAAACCUCGGCCAUGACCAAAGAACGCCACUCCAUUGUUCGGUGAGAUGAUCUUCCUUCGGUCGCUUUUCCAAUCGGUGAACAGUUUUGUGCGUGGGCCUCGGCCUCCCUCCACCUUUCCUCUUGAGAGCCCAUUUUUCUCUUAGGCGGAAUGGAUGUGAAAAAACAGCUGCCUACCUCCUUCUCACUGACAAUUUUGGAAAAUGCAGAAACUAGCUACAUGAGGGGAUUCCAGAGAAGAUGA